rnacentral:lncRNA from 1 species
UCGAUCUGCCAGAGCAAGACUUGUUUCGGGAGGGAGCCUCCGAUUUUGAGUCGCUGCAAGACGGACUCUCUUGGCUCCAGAGCGCCGAAAAAUUGGAAACUGCACGACAAGGCCAUCAGGAAAAACAGCGGGCCUGUUGCAAGAGGCACGUGCGAGCCUCUUGGAAUUGUGCCACAGGGUGCCACACCAUUGUCGAGCCGAAACCAACAUGCCUCACCUAACGGAUGAAUUAACCGUCCAGCUCGAUCUGCCAGAGCAUAGACUUGGGUUUUGGGAGGGAGCCUCCGAUUUUGAGUCGCUGCAAGACGGGACUCUCUUGCUCCAGAGCGCCGAAAAAAUUGGAAACUGCACGACAAGGCCAUCAGGACAAAACAGCGGGCCUUUGCAGAGCACAUGCAGCCUCUUGGAAUUCCUCAACGUCAUGUGCCACAGGGUGCCACACCAUUGUCGAGCCGAAACCAACAUGCCUCACCUAACGGAUGAAUUAAUCGUCCAGCUCGAUCUGCCAGAGCAUAGACUGUUUCGGGAGGAGCCUCGAUUUGAGUCGCUGCAAGACGGGACUCUCUUGGCUCCAGAGCGCCGAAAAAUUGGAAACUGCACGCAAGGUCAUCAGGAAAAAACAGCGGGCCUUUGCAAGAGGCACAUGCGCCUCUUGGGAAUUCCUCAACGUCAUGUGCCACAGGGUGCCACACCAUUGUCGAGCCGAAACCAACAUGCCUCACCUAGUGAAAAACUCACCGGUGGAACUUCUGUGUUGUGACUUCUGUCACACUCAAAGUGGAACUUCCUGGUGAACCUGUUUGGUGUGGAGCUUAUGAGAUUUCUAGUUUCACUAUGUUGCCUUUAUAAUUAUGUUUUUCUACCAUUUCCUUGUUUAAAUUUUCUUAUCUUUGAAAGACUGUUAAAAUUUAUAAACGGACAAAAUUACUGUCAUUCUAGUGUAAAUCUAAAUUUUCUACCAUUUCCUUGUUUAAAUUAAAUUGUUUGUAUUUUUCUUAGACUUAGAUUUUUUCCUUAUCUUUGACAGACUUAUCUUAUCUUUCUUUAUCUAGCAAGGAAUGACUUAUCUUUCCUUAUCUUUAUCAGAUCAUUUUUGAAGUCGCAAAAGGUCAAAUUCUCAACGUAGAAGCGGAAGAUGAGAAAUUUAAGAUUUGGCAUAAACGCUAUGGACAUAUCGGAAGCUCCUACCGUGAGAAGCUAAUUAACAACAAAAUGGUCGUGGGUAUUGAUGCUGUCAAAGUCAACAAAACCGUAUUUUGCGAAGCUUGCGUAAAUGGAAAGCAGACGAGAUUAAAUUUCAAAACACGGACUCCGAGCACGCGCUUGAUCCAAAUAAUUCACUCCGAUGUGUGUGGAAAAAUAUCUCCGCCGACGUACGACGGUCAGCAAUAUUUUGUUUCAUUCAUCGAUGGGUACUCUAAUUUCGUGACUAUCAAUGUCAUGAGGAAAUAAAGUGAGGUAUUCGAGUGUUUUAAAGAUUAUGUCAACUUAGUUCAAUCCCGUUUUGCUACCAAAAUAUCGACGCUAAGGAUCGUUAACGGGGGAGAAUACACGUCGGAUGAGUUUCUGAAUUAUUGUAAAACAAACGGUAUUUUUGUUGACUUUACAGUAAGAUACACGCCGGAACAGAACGGAAAGUCGGAAGUUUUUAACAAAUUAAUAUGUGACAAAGCCCGUA